GAUGAACGCUGGCGGCGUGCCUAAUACAUGCAAGUCGAGCGAACGGACGAGAAGCUUGCUUCUCUGAUGUUAGCGGCGGACGGGUGAGUAACACGUGGAUAACCUACCUAUAAGACUGGGAUAACUUCGGGAAACCGGAGCUAAGACCGGAUAAUAUUUUGAACCGCAUGGUUCAAAAGUGAAAGACGGUCUUGCUGUCACUUAUAGAUGGAUCUGCGCUGCAUUAGCUAGUUGGUAAGGUAACGGCUUACCAAGGCAACGAUGCAUAGCCGACCUGAGAGGGUGAUCGGCCACACUGGAACUGAGACACGGUCCAGACUCCUACGGGAGGCAGCAGUAGGGAAUCUUCCGCAAUGGGCGAAAGCCUGGCGGAGCAACGCCGCGUGAGUGAUGGAGGUCUUCGGAUCUUAAAACUCUGUUAUUAGGGAAGAUCAUAUGUGUAAGUAAGUGUGCACAUCUUGACGGUACCUAAUCAGAAAGCCACGGCUAACUACGUG
rnacentral:rRNA from 1 species